UACGGAGGGUGCAAGCGUUAUCCGGAUUUACUGGGUUUAAAGGGUGUGUAGGCGGGCUAUUAAGUCAGUGGUGAAAUCUCCGGGCUCAACCCGGAAACUGCCAUUGAUACUGAGAGUCUCGAGACCGGAAGAGGUAAGUGGAACUGCGAGUGUAGAGGUGAAAUUCGUAGAUAUUCGCAAGAGCACCAGUGGCGAAGGCGGCUUACUGGUCCGGUUCUGACGCUGAGGCACGAAAGCGUGGGGAGCAAACAGGG
rnacentral:rRNA from 1 species